rnacentral:rRNA from 1 species
ACGGUAGACUACUUUCGGGUAGUUGAGAGUGGCGCACGGGUGCGUAACGCGUAUGCAACCUACCUUGUACAGGGGGAUAGCCCGGAGAAAUUCGGAUUAAUACCCCAUAGCAUUACCAGAUGGCAUCUGAAGGUAAUUAAAGAUUUAUCGGUACAAGAUGGGCAUGCGUGACAUUAGUUAGUUGGUAGGGUAACGGCCUACCAAGACUAUGAUGUCUAGGGGUUCUGAGAGGAUGAUCCCCCACACUGGUACUGAGAUACGGACCAGACUCCUACGGGAGGCAGCAGUAGGGAAUAUUGGUCAAUGGGCGAGAGCCUGAACCAGCCAUGCCGCGUGCAGGAAGACGGCCUUCUGGGUUGUAAACUGCUUUUAUACGGGAAGAAAAGACCCUUGCGAGGGAGAUUGCCGGUACCGUAUGAAUAAGCACCGGCUAACUCCGUGCCAGCAGCCGCGGUAAUACGGAGGGUGCAAGCGUUGUCCGGAUUUAUUGGGUUUAAAGGGUGCGUAGGCGGGCCUUUAAGUCAGUGGUGAAAGCCUGCAGCUUAACUGUAGAACUGCCAUUGAUACUGGAGGCCUUGAGUGUACUAGAGGUAGGCGGAAUUUAUGGUGUAGCGGUGAAAUGCAUAGAUACCAUAAAGAACACCGAUAGCGUAGGCAGCUUACUGGAGUACAACUGACGCUGAGGCACCAAAGCAUGGGGAGCGAACAGGAUUAGAUACCCUGGUAGUCCAUACCGUAAACGAUGAUUACUCCAUGUUGGCGAUACACUGUCAGCGUCCCAGCGAAAGCGUUAAGUAAUCCCCCUGGGGAGUAC